rnacentral:lncRNA from 1 species
UAGAGAAAAUCAAGGAGGAUUUCAUGGAGAGGUUUGUGGGGGGAUAAAAGGGAGAGAUAUUGGAGAAAAAUAAGGAGUUUUGAAAGGAGUGGAAAAAGAGAGUGUACCGAAUUAGGACUCUCUAUUUUGGCAAAGUGGGGUUUUUGUAGCCAGUACUGGUUUGAUAUUAUUUUUCGGUUCUUUUCCUCUUGCGGUUGAAUUCUGUAUUUCAGAGUGCCGUGUUCCCUUUUUUCUAGUUUUACACAUUUGAGUCCAUUUCAGAUUACUCAUCUUCCUUAGGUCUUUUAGAUGAUCAAUUAACUCUUCUC